AGCAGCCGCGGUAAUUCCAGCUCCAAUAGCGUAUAUUAAAGUUGCUGCAGUUGAAAAGCUCGUAGUUGAAUUUCGGGAUCAUCAUGUCGGUCGUGCCUCGGUACGUACUGGCAUUGUUGGUUUCUACCUUCUGACGAACCAUGAUGUCAUUUAUUUGGUGUCGUGGGAAAUCAGGACUGUUACUUUGAAAAAUUAGAGUGUUUAAAGCAGGCUCACGCUUGAAUACAUUAGCAUGGAAUAAUGAAAUAGGACGUUUGAUUCUAUUUUGUUGGUUUCUAGGAUCGACGUAAUGAUUAAUAGGG
rnacentral:rRNA from 1 species